AAUUCUCAAAACCCUUUCCUUUGCCGGAAUGGAUUUUGGACUUGGAGGCCUUUUGCUGGUUUCACCUCGAAGCCAGCUCCUCCUAAAUGGAUUAGUGGGGUCUGCUUUGCCGAUCCUUGACGUGAUAAGAUGCUUCUACGUCUUGGGUUUUGGCACUGUGCCUCUGCUUCUAACCGUCUCAUUGACAACGAUGGUGUUCCGGUCACCGCCGAUUCCUCGGUGGGAGGCUUGACCCACAAAACGA
rnacentral:misc_RNA from 1 species